GCCUCCCCAUCACCACUAAUAGCAUACUGUCCAUUAGUUCUUAAAUCCCUGCAUGAGGAAAAUGUUGUAUCCUGUAUUUCUAACUCAUCUUCAGUAUCCCAGUCAAUGCUGUCAUUGUCUUCUCCAGAAAAGUUGUUAUCCAUUUUUAAAGGUAAUUCCUUAAAAAGAACUCCGAACUCUGCAGCAACAAAAAUAAAUCAUCACCCAAAAUUUAGUUAUCGGAGAUAUACUUAGCUACCUAAAUAGAUGAAUUAUAUU
rnacentral:misc_RNA from 1 species